AUUGAACGCUGGCGGCAGGCCUAACACAUGCAAGUCGAACGAGUGGCGGACGGGUGAGUAAUGUCUGGGAAACUGCCCGAUGGAGGGGGAUAACUACUGGAAACGGUAGCUAAUACCGCAUACCAUCGGAUGUGCCCAGAUGGGAUUAGCUAGUCGGUGGGGUAACGGCUCACCUAGGCGACGAUCCGUAGCUGGUUUGAGAGGAGGACCAGCCACACUGGAACUGAGACACGGCCCAGACUCCUACGGGAGGCAGCAGUGGGGAAUAUUGGACAAUGGGGGAAAGCCUGAUCCAGCCAUCCCGCGUGUGCGAUGAAGGCCUUCGGGUUGUAAAGCACUUUUGGCAGGGAGGCGGUACUCGCAGAAGAAGCACCGGCUAACUACGUGCCAGCAGCCGCGGUAAUAC
rnacentral:rRNA from 1 species